rnacentral:rRNA from 2 species
GGCUAAGCGGACCAUGCCUAAUACGUGCGAGUCGAACGAACUCUGCGUGUUGAUUGGGGCUUGCAUCAUGAUUUACAUUUGAGUGAGUGGCGAACUGGUGAGUAACACGUGGGAAACCUGCCCAGAAGCGGGGGAUAACACCUGGAAACAGAUGCUAAUACCGCAUAACAACUUGGACCGCAUGGUCCGAGUUUGAAAGAUGGCUUCGGCUAUCACUUUUGGAUGGUCCCGCGGCGUAUUAGCUAGAUGGUGGGGUAACGGCUCACCAUGGCAAUGAUACGUAGCCGACCUGAGAGGGUAAUCGGCCACAUUGGGACUGAGACACGGCCCAAACUCCUACGGGAGGCAGCAGUAGGGAAUCUUCCACAAUGGACGAAAGUCUGAUGGAGCAACGCCGCGUGAGUGAAGAAGGGUUUCGGCUCGUAAAACUCUGUUGUUAAAGAAGAACAUAUCUGAGAGUAACUGUUCAGGUAUUGACGGUAUUUAACCAGAAAGCCACGGCUAACUACGUGCCAGCAGCCGCGGUAAUACGUAGGUGGCAAGCGUUGUCCGGAUUUAUUGGGCGUAAAGCGAGCGCAGGCGGUUUUUUAAGUCUGAUGUGAAAGCCUUCGGCUCAACCGAAGAAGUGCAUCGGAAACUGGGAAACUUGAGUGCAGAAGAGGACAGUGGAACUCCAUGUGUAGCGGUGAAAUGCGUAGAUAUAUGGAAGAACACCAGUGGCGAAGGCGGCUGUCUGGUCUGUAACUGACGCUGAGGCUCGAAAGUAUGGGUAGCAAACAGGAUUAGAUACCCUGGUAGUCCAUACCGUAAACGAUGAAUGCUAAGUGUUGGAGGGUUUCCGCCCUUCAGUGCUGCAGCUAACGCAUUAAGCAUUCCGCCUGGGGAGUACGGCCGCAAGGCUGAAACUCAAAGGAAUUGACGGGGGCCCGCACAAGCGGUGGAGCAUGUGGUUUAAUUCGAAGCUACGCGAAGAACCUUACCAGGUCUUGACAUACUAUGCAAAUCUAAGAGAUUAGACGUUCCCUUCGGGGACAUGGAUACAGGUGGUGCAUGGUUGUCGUCAGCUCGUGUCGUGAGAUGUUGGGUUAAGUCCCGCAACGAGCGCAACCCUUAUUAUCAGUUGCCAGCAUUAAGUUGGGCACUCUGGUGAGACUGCCGGUGACAAACCGGAGGAAGGUGGGGAUGACGUCAAAUCAUCAUGCCCCUUAUGACCUGGGCUACACACGUGCUACAAUGGAUGGUACAACGAGUUGCGAACUCGCGAGAGUAAGCUAAUCUCUUAAAGCCAUUCUCAGUUCGGAUUGUAGGCUGCAACUCGCCUACAUGAAGUCGGAAUCGCUAGUAAUCGCGGAUCAGCAUGCCGCGGUGAAUACGUUCCCGGGCCUUGUACACACCGCCCGUCACACCAUGAGAGUUUGUUACAUCCAAUGUCGGUGGGGUAACAUAUUGUGAACCAGCGACCGUAUAGUGUCCCGCGCC